GCCGGGGCAGCGGAGAGCGAGGCAGGCGGCGGAUGGCGGUGGCGGCGGCCUGGGACGGGCCCGAGCGGAGAGAACGUGCGGAGCGGCAGGAGCUGGGGCCGCGGGGGCUGAGAGCGGGGCUCGGCAGGACGGGCCGAGCGCGGCAGCCCCGGGCAGGAGCCGGCGCGGUGACCUCGUGCUCUGCCUGCCGGGGCCGUUCACACAAACACCGUUCAAACAAACACCCUUCACACAAACACCCUUCACAGCCCCUUUCCCCUCUCUCGGUGCCUGGGGCCGGGCAGCAGCGCCCGGCAGGCCAGGGGCCGCCGGCUGCUGUCUGGACCCUCUCAUCACUGUCCCUGCCCAUGGCCGGCGGGUUGGAACUAGAUGAUCUUCAAUGUUUCCUUCCAGCGCAAACCGUUCUAUGAUUCAAUGAUCGUACCCACAGUGAGGGACUUGGGCCUGCCGGGUUCCCCACUCAGCAGAGGGCUCACUGCUGUCACGAUGCGCUGGGGGCACAUGGCUUGUGAUUUCCACAUAGGUUGGAAACAUUUUGUGUGACAGUGCUGGCUUGAGUAGCUGCCCCAGGGGAGGGACUCUCUGCUUUCUCUGGCUCCACCCGUGUGUCAGGCAUGAAACUCAAGUAAAAGUCAAGCUUGAGCCUUGGGAUUUCUGGUCCCUUAGGGGAACAAGAAACAGAAGGCGACGAAAGUAUUUGUGUGCACGAGGGAUGUGUUUCUGUUGGCUGUGUUUAGUACAUAGAAGAUCCAAAAGCCCAUGGAAAGAUGAUGCUGUUGGGAUAGCCAACCUUCUCUGCAGCUACCCCUGUAAAGGCCCUUGGGCAUUGAUGGGGAGUGCUGUGGACAAGAAUCAAGGAGCUCGUCCUGCUUGGUGCUAACCCUGCCCCAGACACAGAGCACAAAUUGCAUCUCAUUGAGCACCUUUUGCUGUCCUUCCUGGUCUGGUGCUGCUGUGGGGGGGAGUGGCCCUUCUCCUUGGCCUCUUGCUCCCUUGCUUCUGGCUAGUCAAAACAUUUGCAGUCUCAGCAUGAGCUGGGUUGGGAAACUGCUUGGGGGGAAGACACACAUAGGAGAAAGCCGUGACUGCCAUCUGGAUCUGGUGCACACCACAGCACAGAGGCAGGAAGAGCAGAGGACAGGGAGGCACAUCUGUUCCCAGCAGCAGCAUGGCUAGGCUUCCCUGGCUCUGGGGAUUGAGUAAGCUUUUGUAGGAGUGCCCAGCUCAUCAGGUGCUUCCCAGAGGUUCACCUGGCAUCUAGCCAGAGCAGCCUUUCGCCAUCUCUCCCCUGCAGUGACUCCUACUGUGCCAAAAGGAGUGGCGCCAAAACCACUGUGCACCCAGGGGCUGAACAUGCUGCCUGUAUGUGUGUUUCCUGGUGGCAGAAAGGCACCUGUUUGCCUACUCUAAUCCCUGAGUAACCUUUGCUUUGCCUUCACUCCUCCAAAACCUUGAGGUACCUGCAGCAGCCUCAGGCUGCCAUCAGUCUGGCAGCUGAAAUGGGCAGAGCUCCAGCCCCCUUGGUUCCUGCCUGCCGUGAGGGAUAACUAUCGGCAAAACACCCGAGGGAGCUGAGCCCUCAGUGAGGCAUGAGAGCAGCGGGCUUCUGGAGGAGUGACAAGCAGGCACGCAAUCCUGUCUCUCUUCCUCACCCCUUCUUGGGUAGAGGCCUGUCCUUUCUCAGCCCUCCAGGACCCUUCUCAGAGCUUGCUUUCACCCUGCCUAGCAGUUACCCUCUGCCAUCUCUUUGGAGGUGCAGGAAGGAGGUGACAGAACCUCACCUGACCCUGCAUGAAGCAGUCACUUCUUCUUGAGUCCCAUUUCUCCUGGGGUUUUCACCCUAGAGGCAAAAGAAAUAGAACAAAAAAUGCUUUCCCAUGUUUGCUGAGCCCAGGUGAUCUUCUUCAGCACCAGGAAGUAUCUGUAAUCAACCUGUUUGGGUGUUGAUGGGGACUGGAGCUGAGUGACAGCAUGCAGCUGUCAUCAGAGAUGUAGCCUGGUGAAUCACUGCCACUUUCCCUGCUGUGGGGGCCAUUCCCUUUCACUCUAGACCCACAUCCUGGAGAGACCCAGUGUGUGCAGCAGCAUGGGGAUGAUGCUGCUGCCCUCCCACACUGUUUCAAGCUCUUUGGGAUUGAUGCUGGACCCUGUUCAGUCUCCACGUCACUUGGGCCUGUCCACCAUGGGUGGCAGGAGCUGUCUGUGCCAGGCAGUGGGGCUGAACUCAGCUUUCCACUUGGCUUCAGUGGCUCUUGGUGGUGAGGGUAGGUUGGCCUGAAGAGAAGUGGUUUGGAUGCAACACUUGUCAUGGGGCUUGCUUUGGCAGAGCUGAGGCCAAGACCAGGCUGCUUUGCUCUCUGACGAUUCUCUGUUUGUGGCUAUAGCUCCACAUUUGUGACUACUUGUUGGCCUGAACGUUUCUAGAACACAAAUGACCUGGCAACAUGGGGCCAGCAGCACAGAACUGGCAGUGUCCUUCCUCUGUCAGAGGAACCUUGGAGGUGCCUCUUGCCACUGGCCAUGCCCAUGCAUGGCAAGGCGUCUGUGCUUGGUACAUGGGUGAAGGCAGAACUGGGUGUUCCCGAGGGACAGCUUGCCUCCUGCUGAGGGAGAGGCAGGCUCAGUGGAGCUGGGCUAGGCCAAGGUGCUGUUGGGCUUGGCUCCAUGUCCUCAGAUGAGAGCCAGGCCGUGGGAUGUGUGUGAAACAGUGCAUGGGAGCUGUGGCAGGCAGCUGGCACCUGGGGGUGGGCAGGAUCUGUACGGCUGGGCCCAUUUCCCUGCUGCAAACCCCCACGGGCUGGUGAGCACUGCCAGGGUCAGGGUGUGCAGCCAGGGCAGUGAGGGAGGAAACCCUCCCAGCUCUCUGCUCUCACUGCCUCCAUGGAGACACCUCCAGUGGGACUGUUUUCAGUGGGUUGUUUCAGCUCUGCUCUCUCAAAGCCCUGAACACUAUAGAGUCACACUAAUGAGUGCAACAGACCCCUGGGCCAGCAGCUCCCUAAGCCUGUGGGGGAGCUGGCUUUGUAGGGAGGGCAUGUCUGAGGGGGCAGGGGUGAGCAAUUUACAUGCCCUGCUCAGCCUACUCUCUUCCUGGGGCACAGGGAGCAGAGGUGUCCUGUUUCCAGGCCAGACCCCGCUGACGCUGUCUGUAAACUGGCUGGGAGAUAAAUAUUCAAGGUUCAGUCAUGCUGGUUAAGCUCCCAGCUAGUGGGUGAAGGGGGCGGAACUCUCCUUUUGCCAGGGAGCUCUGCUUCCAUCUGUCAUAGGAGACUGUCCCAGGCCUGCUUCCUUCUUAGGGUGUUACUGGCUCCUAUUCUGGCGCUGUUACACAGGACACUGUUUGACUGAAAUAGCUGUUGCUCCAAGCUGUGUGACAGGCUCCUCCAGUUGACUCUGGAGGCUCAGUUUUGCAGUUCCAGGUCUCAUGUCCUUGCCCUUGGCUGUGUCUCUGGGUGUUGUUAGUGCCAGCAGCUCCUCUGGGCCAGUGUUGCUAUAGUGGGAGCCAUGAGCAUGACACUUGCUUUCCAGGUUUUUAAUGUGUGCCACAUACUGAAGACCCCUGGUUGUAUGUUGGGAGCUCUGACAAGCCUAUGCUUUUGGCAGUAAGCAUUGUAGCAGCUGUGAUGAGGCCAUUACUUCCUUGCCAGAGAGUUUGACCACAGAGAGUCGCCAAGAUAGCUGGGCCAGGAAGAAAACGUCGCACCCCUGACCCAGACUCCAUUACUGACCCCGGCGGGCUGUUUGUGUCCUCCAAACGGCUGAAAAUGUCCAGCAGCACAAAUGCCCCUGGCCAGAGGAGAGUGUCUCGGGGCUUGGAUGAUGCCACCAAUAAGAAGAAGCAGAAGGAUCGAGCCAAUCAGGAAAGCAAGGAAGUGUCUCGCCCUGAGCUCAAGCAGGCUGAGACUGCCGAGGAGGAGGACUCAGAGGAGGAGCUGCUGCUGGACUGGAAGCAGAAUGCCGAUGAGAUCAUUAUCAAGUUGAACUUGGGCAGUGGAGCUCUGAAGGUGGAGGAUGUACAUGCUGAUUUCACCGACACAGACUGUGUGGUCAAACUACCAGACGGGCGCCAGUGGAGCUGUCAGUUCUAUGAGGAGAUUGAGGGCUCCUGCAGCAAGAUACAGUGCAAGAAGGGCAACUUUCUACAGCUUGUGCUUCAGAAGAAAAUCCCACUCCAUACUUGGUCUUCACUUCUGAAGAAAAGGAAAGAUGGAUCCAAAGAACUGGCCAAAGGGUCUGCGUGCUGGGAGAAUGGGAAGGAGAAGGCUGCUUCUGCAGAGUUGACCCCUGAAGAGCCAAGGGUUGAAGGCACAGAGCCACCAAGAUCCCGGCGGGAGCCCUCCAACCCCAAGCGUGCUCCAGGAAGAAGCGAGGCCCUGGGAGGGAAAAGCCCAGCCAGCCCAGGGACACAGAGUGGCCCCAGCGCCAAGCGGGCAGUAUACCUCAAAGUGGCUCCCACUGAAGAGGAGCCAAAUGCCAGAGUCACUGGGAACACAGAACCCGGCAAAGGGCACAGUGGGAGGGCCGGCAGCCGCCGCAAUGGCAGAGCCAGCCAGGUUGAUGCACCUGUGGCCCUUGCAGACCUCGCACUGCCACUCGAGAAGGCUGUGGUUUUGGCCAAAGAGACUGUUCCCGUGGAGAUACCACCUCUCGCAGCUACCACGGAGGUGUUUCCCCACCGUGUUGCCACCUGUGUUGAGAAGAGAGUCCUGCAGCCAGGCAGCCCUACUGAGGCCUUGCGGAGCCGGGACUGCCUGCCUAUCCUUGGAGAGAGCUCUAAGGUCAUCCCAGUGGCCACCCCACCAAUGGGCAGAGAUGGUGAGAAGAGGGACUGGUCCAAGGACGAUGUGGCUCUGGAGGCAGCAGCUGAUGAGCCAGAGCCUUUUGUAAGCCUGACCUUUGUCAAGAAUGACUCAUACGAGAAGGGCAAUGAUCUGGUGGUAGUGCAUGUCUAUGUGAAGGAGAUCCACAAGGAGACAUCCAAGGUGUUGUUCCGGGAGCAAGACUUCACACUAGUGUUCCAGACGAGUGAUGCGAACUUCCUUCGUCUCCAUCCUGGCUGUGGGCCCCACACAGUGUUCCGGUGGCAGGUGAAGCUCAGGAACCUUAUUGAGCCGGACCAGUGCACUUACAACUUCACUGUAUCUCGCAUUGAUGUCUGCCUGAAGAAACGUCAGAGCCAGCGCUGGGGGGGGCUGGAGGCUCCAGCCACACGAGGUGCAGUGGGUGGUGCAAAGGUUGCCAUGCCUACAGGCCCUACCCCUCUGGAUAAGAACCCUCCGGGCAGUAACCAGCACCCCCUCUCCAGCAAGGAAGAGGCCCGAACCAGUGACAAAGAGAAGCCGCGUGUGGAAGAUGGGGCUCUGGAUGGCGUGGCAGCCCGUACAGCUCCAGAGCACUUGGCAGUGAAGCAAGAGCCACACAUUCCUUCGCCCAAACCAACAUGUAUGGUGCCACCAAUGACACACAGUCCGGUGAGUGCCGAAAGCGUGGAGGAGGAUGAGGAUGAGGAUGAGAAGAAGAAGGUCUGCCUGCCUGGCUUCACGGGGCUGGUGAACCUGGGCAACACUUGCUUCAUGAACAGUGUCAUCCAGUCCCUGUCCAACACCCGGGAGCUGCGUGACUACUUCCACGAUCGGUCCUUUGAGUCAGAAAUCAACUAUAACAACCCGCUGGGUACAGGUGGACGCCUGGCCAUCGGCUUUGCCAUGCUGCUCAGAGCACUGUGGAAGGGUACACACCAUGCCUUCCAGCCCUCUAAACUAAAGGCAAUUGUGGCCAGCAAGGCCAGCCAGUUCACUGGCUAUGCCCAGCAUGAUGCUCAGGAGUUCAUGGCCUUCCUGCUUGAUGGCCUGCACGAGGACCUCAACCGCAUCCAGAACAAGCCCUACACAGAGACUGUUGAUUCAGAUGGGAGGCCUGAUGAGGUGGUAGCUGAGGAGGCUUGGCAACGACACAAGAUGAGAAACGACUCGUUCAUAGUAGACCUCUUCCAGGGCCAGUACAAAUCCAAGCUUGUGUGCCCGGUGUGCUCCAAGGUGUCUAUUACCUUUGACCCCUUCCUGUACCUCCCCGUGCCCCUCCCACAGAAGCAAAAGGUGCUGACUGUCUACUAUUUUGCAAAGGAGCCACACAAGAAACCCAUCAAGUUCCUUGUGAGUAUCAGCAAGGAGAACUCCAGUGCCAUGGAGGUGCUUGACUCAGUGGCCCACAGCGUGCGUGUGAAACCAGAGAACCUGCGCCUGGCAGAGGUGAUCAAGAAUCACUUCCACCGCGUGUUCCUGCCGUCUAACUCACUAGACACAGUCUCGCCAACGGACCUGCUGCUUUGCUUUGAGGUGCUGUCCCCAGAGCUGGCCAAGGAGCGUGUGGUGGAGCUUCAAGUCCAGCAGCGUCCGCAGGUGCCCAGUGGCCCUGUUGCCAAGUGUGCAGCCUGCCAGAAGAAGCAGCUGCCAGAGGAUGAGAAGCUCAAGCGCUGCACGAGGUGCUAUCGAGUCGGUUACUGCAAUGUGGCAUGUCAGAAAACACACUGGCCAGACCACAAGGCUUUGUGCCGUCCCGAAAACAUCGGUUUCCCCUUCCUCAUCAGUGUGCCCGAGUCCCGCCUCACCUACGCCCGCCUGGCCCAGCUGCUGGAGGGCUAUGCAAGGUACUCGGUCAGCGUGUUCCAGCCUCCAUUCCAGUUAGGCCGGAUGUCGCCGGAGCAGGGGCUGCAGCCUCUGCACUCAGACAAGCUGGAGCCCCUGGCCAAGAGCAGCUGUGCAGCAGUCACCUCUGCCCCUGAGCUGGGAGAUGGGGACAGGGUUUCCAGCCUCCCGCAGGAGCCCCCACUCUCGCCAGCUGUGCCUGAACUGCAGCCAGAGAUGGGGGAUACUACCACUGUUCGGAGCAAGGUCCUGACAGCCAGGAGUUCCCUGCUGAGCUUGGAUUCGGGGUUCUCUGAGCACAUGGAGUCGCAGGGUGACAGCUGUUGUGAGAAGGAGCCGUCCUAUGAGAGGGCCCUCAAGCCAGAAGCUGCCAUCCCUGGGUACCAACACACUCCAGACUCACUGAGUGCCCGUGCCACACAGUUCUACAUCACUAAGAUCGACACUGCCAACCGAGAGCACAAGCUGGAAGACAAAGGUGACACCCCCCUGGAUCUGACAGAUGACUGCUCCCUUGCCCUGGUGUGGAAGAACAAUGAGCGCCUCAAGGAAUUCGUGUUGGUAGAAUCCAAGGAGUUGGAGUGUGUGGAGGAUCCAGGCUCAGCCAGUGAAGCAGCCCGGGCUGGCCACUUCACCCUGGAGCAGUGCCUCAAUCUCUUCACGAAGCCUGAAGUUCUGGCCCCAGAGGAAGCGUGGUACUGCCCCAAGUGCAAGCAGCACCGCGAGGCUUCCAAGCAGCUGAUGCUGUGGCGGCUGCCCAAUGUCCUCAUUAUCCAGCUCAAGCGCUUCUCCUUCCGCAGCUUUAUUUGGAGGGACAAGAUCAAUGACAUGGUGGACUUUCCUGUCCGGAGCCUGGACCUGAGCAAAUUCUGCAUUGGUCGGAAGGGUGAGCAGCAGCUGCCUAUGUAUGACCUGUAUGCUGUGAUCAACCACUAUGGAGGUAUGAUCGGAGGGCACUACACAGCAUACGCCCGCCUGCCCAACGACAAGAACAGCCAGCGCAGCGACGUGGGCUGGCGGCUCUUUGAUGACAGCACAGUCACCACCGUGGAUGAGAGCCAAGUGGUGACCAGAUAUGCGUAUGUCCUCUUCUAUCGCCGGAGGAACUCUCCUGUGGAGAGACCCCUGCCAGGGCAUCCCUCAGACCACCGCACCGAGCGCACCCCCUCUGCUGAAGCUGCUGCCAGCCAGGCUUCUCUGAUCUGGCAGGAACUGGAGGCUGAAGAACAAGAGCUGCAGCUUGAGGCACCCCAAAGGCCUGCAAGAAGCUCCUGGAGGCCCUGUGGGCAGAAGCGGAAUCCGAGCACCCCCCAGCACCCAGAUGAAGGCUGCGUCAGAUACUUUGUCCUGGCCACCACGGCCGCAAUUGUGGCUCUCUUCCUGAACGUCUUCUACCCGCUCAUUUACCAGCCCGGCUGGAGAUAGGCCCAGGCGUGUGGCCAGCUGCAGGAGCAGGGCCGCCAGGGCACGCGCCGUCCUAGGACGCUAUGAGACGAAGACAUGAGGCAGCAGGACAGAAAACGCUGGGAAAGACUCGCCAAGGGAAACAUGGGGCUGUUGGCUCCUGCCUGUCUGCUCUGGUAUCUCCUGUGCCAGCUGGCAGGCCUGUGUGGCCAGCCUGCUACCUUGCCAAGGCACAGCCCAGAACCAGAAGCUCUUUUGCCCUUCCUUGCUGCCCACUGGGAGCGGGGCAGACGUCAAGGCUACCUGCUGCUCAAGAAGGGACAUUGCUGCUGCAGUGAAGCUGGGGCCUGAGAGCCCCAUGGACACAUCAGCCAUCUCUGCUUGGCUCCCAAGAAGGAAGUGUGGAGACCUGCUGGGAGGCUGCAGCAAGGGCAGGAUGCCCUGACACGGGCCCUGGCUGGCCACCUCUCUCAGCUGUGCUGCUGCAGGAGCCUUGAGCUUCCCUAGAGCUGGGACUACCCAUGGUCCUUGGCCAGCCCAGUCUGCCCUGCUAGCCUUCUGCUGAGCCUUCUGGUGCCAGCUGCCUGUGUGCCUGUGUGUGCCAUGCUCCUGUGCUGGGGCUGGACAGGCUUGUUGCCAAGGGCUUGUGAGCUUCCCUGCUCCAGUCCCAGACAGCUGCUGUGGAGCCUGGCAAUCCAGACUGGGGUGCCCAUGGGACUGCCCCCAGUGCCGUUCGGAUCUGGCCUGGCCCCCGAAGGAGCCCCGCCGCUGGCUGCGGAAGGCCUCCCCGAGCGUUUCGCCAGCCCCGCCGAGCGCCCAGCCCCCUCCUACAGCAGCAUGGAAGAAGUCGAC